AUUUGAUUGUUUUUUUUUUUUUUUUUUUUUUUUUUUUUUUUUUUUUUUCUCCU
rnacentral:ribozyme from 1 species